GAUGGAUCUGUCGGAACACGGCUUUGGGCUGGCCCUGCUCAACGACUGCAAGUAUGGCGCGUCAGUGCGAGGCAGCAUCCUCAGCCUCUCGCUGUAAGUGGGGUACCCACCAGGCCUGGGAGCUGGCAUGGAGAAAUGGGUCUUCCCGACCACAACUCCAACAGCUUCAGCGUGGCCCCUACGCGCCCUCCUCACCCCAGCUUGCGGGCGCCUAAAGCCCCGGACGCUACUGCUGACACGGGGCGCCACGAGUUCACCUACGCGCUGAUGCCGCACAAGGCCCCCAGCCCAGCGCCCGCCACCUCCUGGAGUGCGUUUUCCGUGUCUUCACCCGCGGUCGUAUUGGAGACCGUCAAGCAGGCAAGGGCAGCCCCCAGCGCCGCUCGCUGGUCCUGAGGCUGUAUGAGGCCCACGGCAGCCACGUGGAUUGCUGGCUGCACUUGUCGCUGCCGGUUCAGGAGGCCAUCCUGUGAGUGGCGGUGAGGGAUUGGGGCGGGGGUCGAGUCUCGCCCUCGCAGAGCCUUCAUGGCCCCUCCUGUUCUCCAGCUGCGAUCUCUUGGAGCGACCAGACCCUGCUGGCCACUUGACCCUUCGGGACAACCGCCUGAAGCUCACCUUUUCUCCCUUCCAAGUGCUGUCCCUGUUGCUCGUGCUUCAGCCUCCACCACACUGAGUCCUUGGGGCUGGGGUUUUGUUUGUUUUGUAGAAGGCUCUGGGGACUCCUAAUUUCUGCUUCCCCAGCCUAAAGCAGGGAUCAGUCUCUUCUUGUGGAAUAAAUCCUUGGAUCAGGAA
rnacentral:sRNA from 1 species